rnacentral:lncRNA from 1 species
AAGUCCGAUCAAAGGCCUGCGACUUCAUCGAAGUGCUAGCUUCCUUACAGAAGAUGCCUCCUGAUGGUUGAUUGGAGAUCCUCUUCACAUCUCUCAGACUCUCUUAGAGAAGAAGAAGAUUAGAAAAAGAAAAAAGAGGAGGAUGAAGAAUAAGAAUACUCUCUUCUUUUCUUCCUAGAACCCACACAUAAGAUCCCUACACUAGAGAUCUAUCACGCUUGAGAAAAGAACUCUUCUUUUCUCUCAUGCCUAAGAAGAACUUUUUUUUUCUUUUUUCACACA